rnacentral:lncRNA from 13 species
GGAGGUGAGCACAAGUGAAAUGUGAACAGGAAGUGGGAAGGAGCAGGCCUUGUCUCUACUGCCAGUGUGCUUCAUACAUUUGUGAAGAAGCAGACCUGCAUCAUAAAACCAACCAAAAGCCACGGAGUUACCUCUCUAAAAAAUGUAAUGGACUGUACUGAAAGCCUAACUUUGACUGAUGUGAGGUUUGGGACUUCAUCCAGGAAAUGCUGGGAUGACAUAGUCCCUCUGACAAGCAGAGUAUAA